UGGGGAAUUUUGGACAAUGGGCGAAAGCCUGAUCCAGCAAUGCCGCGUGUGUGAAGAAGGCCUUCGGGUUGUAAAGCACUUUUGUCCGGAAAGAAAUCCUUGGCUCUAAUACAGUCGGGGGAUGACGGUACCGGAAGAAUAAGCACCGGCUAACUACGUGCCAGCAGCCGCGGUAAUACGUAGGGUGCAAGCGUUAAUCGGAAUUACUGGGCGUAAAGCGUGCGCAGGCGGUUUGCUAAGACCGAUGUGAAAUCCCCGGGCUCAACCUGGGAACUGCAUUGGUGACUGGCAGGCUAGAGUAUGGCAGAGGGGGGUAGAAUUCCACGUGUAGCAGUGAAAUGCGUAGAGAUGUGGAGGAAUACCGAUGGCGAAGGCAGCCCCCUGGGCCAAUACUGACGCUCAUGCACGAAAGCGUGGGGAGCAAACAGGAUUAGAUACCCUGGUAGUCCACGCCCUAAACGAUGUCAACUAGUUGUUGGGGAUUCAUUCCUUAGUAACGUAGCUAACGCGUGAAGUUGACCGCCUGGGGAGUACGGUCGCAAGAUUAAAACUUAAAUGAAUUAACGGGGUCAAGCUG
rnacentral:rRNA from 1 species